UUUUUGCAUGGACUCAAGUGAAGUUUGACUUUUCCCUAAAAGCUUCCCUCAAUUCUCCACCCCAUUCUCUCCUUCUUUUUGCCUUCUCCUGCCACCUGGCGUGCCCAAAUCAUCCACAGGAAGGGGGAUUUGGUGGUAGGCUGCUUUCAAGAUGGUUCUCCGUGAUGCCUGCCUUUGGUAUUCAUCCUAUGUGUCUUCCCAGUUCCUGAGUGAGGGUCGUGCCUCGUGAACUGCGUCUCACAAAGAAAAAAUGGUGGAUGUGAUGGGAGGCCACUGCUAUAAGAUUAUGGAUGUUCAAAGUUCAUCUCACUUAAUCUUUGUUGUACUCUACUCCCAUUCUUCUCCCCACACUCCCCUUCUAUCUGUCUCCCUCUCUGAUUUUCUUCAUUUGCUCAUUCUGAGGGAAACAGCGAUCAUACUGCCAUCUGCCUCUCCAGAAGUCAUCACAACCAGGAAAGGAAGAGGGUGUCCCAGGAGCAUGUGUGUGAACUUUGGGAGGCCUCUUACUCUGGCCAAGUCUGCACAUGAGAGCCCCUUUUGCUGGCUGACCCCUUGGACCGAACUUUGUGGCCAGAAACCCCAGCUAUGCCGCUCCCAGAUUCCAGACCCACAACAAGGGUCAGUAUCCAUUAUCCAACUCUUCUGUGCCCUUACCUGCUGGCCUUCCUAGCCUCAGGUACAUUUAUCAUCCCUGUCUGUCUCCCCAGAUCUGGAAUUCCACCUUUAUAAGAUCUGUUUCACAUGCCCAGAGCAGAAUUUUAAAAAAUAAAAGUCAGUCAUGUCAUUCCUUGUUGAAACUGUCCGGUGCUUUUUUUUUAAAAUUGCAAUUAAAUGAAAAUUCAGACCCUUUUCCACACAUACAUGACUCUGUAGGACCCAACCUAUGCUCCUCUCUGGCUCCCUGUCUGCCCUCUCUGUCUCUAUGGCCUCACCAAGCUUAUGUUGCAUGUAUCUCUCCUUUUCUGAAACAUGCUGAGCUUCUCACCUCAGGGCCUUUGCACUUCCUGUGCUCUAGGCUGGUAGGAUUAGUCCCCAGAGCUUUACUCAAAUGCAUCUUUCUAGCCCUCAGCACCCGCUGCACAUACUCCCUAUUCAUCCCUCCUCUUCUAGUCUCUUCAUUAUUCCCACUAUGCUCCAAAAUUACUCUGUUCAUUUAUUUUAUUUUGCUUUGCUUUUAUCAUAGUAUUUUUGAACCCAAGGCCUUCACACUGAACCGCUUCCCCAGCCCUUGUUUUAGAAUUUUUUAUUUGAAGAUAGAAUCUCACUGAGUCAUUAAAUUGCCAAAGGUAAGUUUAAACUUGAGAUCUUCCUGCCUCAGCUUCCCAGAAUCUGGGAUUACAGGGCACACCCCAUGGCUGGCUUACUUCUUGCUUUUUAUUGUUGUCUUUCCCUGGUAGAAUUCUACUCCCCUGUGCAACUGUCUGCAAUAAUGGAAACAUUCUCUGUGCUGCAUGAUAUAGACAGCACUAGCUCCUGGGCAGUUGAGCACUUGAAGCGUGGCUGGUGAAGGCAAGGAACUGCAUGUUUAAAUUCAAUUCAAUUUUAUAUUAUUGUUUAGUUAGUUUUAAAUAAAAUUUCAUUUAAAUAUC